GCGCACCAGGCGCGAAACCUCCGCAAUGCGGGAAACCGCGACGGGGGACCCCGAGUGCCGUGGCAACGCCACGGCUUUUCCGGAGUGUAAAAAGCUCCGGGAAUAAGGGCUGGGCAAGGCCGGUGGCAGCCGCCGCGGUAAUACCGGCGGCCCGAGUGGUGGCCGCUAUUAUUGGGCCUAAAGCGUCCGUAGCCGGGCCCGUAAGUCCUGGCGAAAUCCCACGGCUCAACCGUGGGGCUUGCUGGGGAUACUGCGGGUCUUGGGACCGGGAGAGGCGGGGGGUACCCCUGGGGUAGGGGUGAAAUCCUAUAAUCCCAGGGGGACCGCCAGUGGCGAAGGCGCCCCGCUGGAACGGGUCCGACGGUGAGGGACGAAGGCCAGGGGAGCAAACCGGAUUAGAUACCGUGUAGU
rnacentral:rRNA from 1 species